rnacentral:lncRNA from 9 species
AGAAGAUGGCGACCGGCAACGUUUUAAGGUGCAACAGCUGGGAAACCACCAGGAAAACCUUGCUUCCCUGUCUUAGCAUCUGGAGUCUUCAUGGAAGUGAGAAGUUUGCAGGUUUGCAGCUGCAGCCCUUUCAUGACAAGUUCGAUUUUUCCUGCAUAACUUCAUGCUGGUGUCAUAUAUUCUUUCAUGCGUUCCCUGGUGACCACAGCUCUCCUGCCAUUUACCUUGCUCCAGGCCCAGCUCUUUCCUCUGGGAUUUUCCUUAACAAUAUUCAAACAUUAGCUCUUCCACCGUCACUAAAGUCUGCCUACAUUAAAAACAGCCAUCAUCAACAAAAACCCUUGAUGCAAAUGAAUUUAUGUACAAAGCAGAAAUAGACCCACAGACAGAGAAAAUUAGCUAAUGGUUACCAAAGAGGAAAGGGAGAUGGAGAGGGACAAAUCAGGAGCUCGGGAUUAACAAGUCCACACUAUUAUACGUAAAAUAGAUAACCAACAAGGACCAACUGUAUAACCUAGGAAACUAUACUCAAUAUUUCACACUAACCUCUAAGGGAAAAGAAUCUAGCUUAUAUUCACACACACAUAUGUCUAUGUAUGUAUAACUGAAUCACUUUGCUGUACACCUGUAAGUAACACAACAUUGUAAAUCAACUAUACUUCAACAACAACAACAAAAAAUAAAAAUAAAAAAGAAAAGGAAAACAAACAAAAAAACCCCUCAAAACAAAAAUAUCAAAAAACUCCUGGCUUCCUGUUUUGAUAAAGCUCCUGUCAUGUACAGAGAGACCUAGGUGUAUUCAGACUCUGCUGCAUACCCUUGAGCAUAAUCCUUCAUCUCUUCUGGUUUCUUACCAGUAAAACAAGUGCUGAAAAGACUACCAUCAAAAAUUGUGAGAGUCUAACAGUUAAUGCACAUAAAGUGCUUAAUGUGGUACCCAGCACAUUUUUUUAAGUAUUAAGCUUAUUAUUAAUUGCUAUUAAAGGAAAUAUUUGUAAAUCAUCUUCCCCCAGUGAUAAAUAUGUUUUCAGCAAGAGACCUGCUUUUGCUUUUUAAAUCUACAAGACGUCCUUAUUAUUUUACUCUUAUUACAACAUUAAAGGUGGCAGAGACCCCAAGAAUGCUUUAUAAUGCUGGGUCCUGAAAUUUAAGAGGGGCCCAAGAGGAGAUUUCAGGAACACACACCUUCAAAUGCCUUUUUGCAAAUGACUUGGAUUAUUGGCCCCAGUAAUCUGUUUAAAGUAAAGAAUAUUCCAAAUCUGAAGGCAACUCAUUGAAGAUGCUUUACCUAUCAGCUGCUUACGAGAAGGGUUCAACUGGUUCAAUUUUUAUGUGAGACAUUACUUUCAGGAGAUAAUUUCUUUCAUAUCACUUGAAAUGUUUUUCCUAUGGGCUAACCUGUAUUGUAAAUUCUAACUUAAUAUAAGGCAAAGCAAAAAAAAAAAAAAAAAAAAAAAAAAAAAAACACUGUCGAUCUCACACAUGAAUUCAUUCUCCAUUGUUUUCGCUAGUUUUUCCAACAUCCCGAGGGAAUCCAACAACAAUAGGUUAUAUGGAGUGCAAUUAGAAUCAUAAUGCAGAAGCAAGUAAAUUAGGGCAGGUGUUGAUAUUUCAAAGCUAGUCUGCUUUCCUUCUAUUUGGACAAAAUUCAUGAGCUGCAUUCGGAAGUAACCAUGUCUCCUCUUUCAGAAAACAGGAAAACACCCAUUG